rnacentral:rRNA from 1 species
UACGGAGGGUGCAAGCGUUAAUCGGAAUUACUGGGCGUAAAGCGCACGUAGGUGGUUUGCUAAGUCAGCUGUGAAAUCCCCGGGCUCAACCUGGGCACUGCAGUUGAAACUGGCAAGCUAGAGUAGGGUAGAGGGGUGUGGAAUUCCAGGUGUAGCGGUGAAAUGCGUAGAUAUCUGGAGGAACAUCAGUGGCGAAGGCGACACCCUGGACUCAUACUGACACUGAGGUGCGAAAGCGUGGGGAGCAAACGGG